AUGAUAUUUUGGUUUUCAGCCGCACGCUGGAAGAUCACAGGGAGCACCUUUCGCAAGUUCUUCAGCUAUUGCGUCGAGAUCAAUGGAAGCUCAAAGCCUCAAAGUGCUGUUUUGGCCAGCAGAAACUAUCUUACCUGGGGCAUAUUAUCAGUUCGGAGGGAGUUGCUACUGACCCUAGCAAAAUCGCUGCCGUGUCACGAUGCUAAAGAAGUGCGCCGUUUCAUCGGGCUUUCCGGGUAUUAUCGUCGUUUCGUGCGCCAUUUUGGAAUCAUAGCACGGCCCCUGUUUAAUCUGCUCAAGAAAGGAGCCCCAUUUGUAUGGACCCAGGCAACAGAAGAAUCAUUCCAGCUGCUUAAGCAAGGGCUCGUUACAGCGCCAGUGCUUGCCCUGCCCAACUUCUCUCAACCAUUCAUCAUCGAGAUAGAUGCUUGUGAUGUCGGUGUCAGGGCAAUUCUGCAGCAACAAGGUCAUCCGAUUGCAUAUAUGAGCAAGGCAUUGUGUCCCAAAUUCCAGGGUCUGUCCACUUAUGAGAAAGAAUACCUUGCGGUGGUCGUGGCAGUUGACCAGUGGCGUCCUUAUCUACAGCACAACGAGUUUGUGAUUCAAACUGAUCAGAGGAGUCUCACCCACCUUGAGGAGCAAAGAUUGACCACACCUUGGCAGCAGAAAGCUUUUACUAAGCUAUUGGGGCUCCGUUAUACAAUCAGAUACAGAAAAGGUGCAGAAAAUGGAGGAGCUGAUGCUUUGUCACGAGCCACGCAUACUGACCAACUUCACACGGUAUCAUCUUGCACCCCUAGCUGGAUGGAGGAUAUCAUCAGCAGCUAUAAUGCCAACCCACAUGCUCAAAAGCUGCUCGAGCAACUCGCUAUUAGAGCAGAUCCCAAAGGCCGAUUUUCUCUGGAACAGGGCAUCCUGAGAUUCAGAGGAUGA
rnacentral:rRNA from 1 species